GUAUUCUUAGCUCAACUGGAAAGAGCGGCGACCUUCUAAGUCGCCGGUUACAGGUUCAACUCCUGUAGAAUACG
rnacentral:tRNA from 1 species